rnacentral:rRNA from 1 species
CAUUAAAGAGUUCUAUAACUCCCAAACCCAUGUGAACAUACCUAACGUUGCCUCGGCAGGUCGCACCUACCUUGUAGCACCCUACCCUGUAGGGCCUACCCGGGAGGUGCGGGUAAGCCUGCCGGCGGCCCACCAAACUCUGUUUGAUAUUGAAUUCUGAACCUAUAACUAAAUAAGUUAAAACUUUCAACAACGGAUCUCUUGGUUCUGGCAUCGAUGAAGAACGCAGCGAAAUGCGAUAAGUAAUGUGAAUUGCAGAAUUCAGUGAAUCAUCGAAUCUUUGAACGCAUAUUGCGCCCAUUAGUAUUCUAGUGGGCAGGACCGUUCGAGCGUCAUUUCAACCCUUAAGCCUUCGUUGCUUAGUGUUGGGAGCCUACGGCAACGUAGCUCCUCAAAGUUAGUGGCGGAGUUGGUUCACACUCUAGACGUAGUAAUUUUUUAUCUCGCCUAUUAGUUGGACUAAUCCCCUGCCGUAAAACCCCCAAUUUAUCAAGGUUGACCUCGAAUCGGUUCAGACAAACUCGCUAAAUUGAAGCAUCUUAGUCAGCGAAGGAAAAGAAACCAACAGGGAUUGCCCUAGUAACGGCGAGUGAAGCGGCAACAGCU